GAUGAACGCUAGCGGAAGGCUUAAUACAUGCAAGUCGAGCGGUAGGUGGCUUCGGCCAUUGAGAGCGGCGCACGGGUGAGUAACGCGUACAUGACCUGCCUGUCAGAAGGGGAUAGCCCUGGGAAACUGGGAUUAAUACCCUAUGGUAUUGAUAUUAUGAAUGAUAUCAAUUAAAGUUGAGGCGCUGACAGAUGGAUGUGCGUCUGAUUAGCUAGUUGGUAGGGUAACGGCCUACCAAGGCGACGAUCAGUAGGGGCGUGAGAGGAUGAUCGCCACACUGGAACUGAGACACGGUCCAGACUCCUACGGAGGCAGCAGUGGGGAAUUUUGGACAAUGGGGGCAACCCUGAUCCAGCCAUGCCGCGUGAGUGAAGAAGGCCUUCGGUUGUAAAGCUCUUUCGGCCGGGAAAAAUCGACAUCAGUUAAUACCUAGGUGUGGAUGAUGGUACCGAAUAAGAAGCACCGGCUAACUACGUGCCAGCACG
rnacentral:rRNA from 1 species